GUAUUAAGGGCAAUGAAGGUUAUGAAACUAGAAAUUAAUCUAGUCUGAGAACAGAUCACGCAGUCCUUCCAUAUGCAUUGUCUUUGCAAUGGUAUGAAAAUAUGAGUCAGUAUGACUCAUUUGGCUUCCUGACCUAGCCAGUUGUCUGGCUCUCCACAUUAAUACAGUCACCUGAACCAGCGUCUCUGUUCAUUUUGUGUGGCCUCCUGGAUAUCACCUUUCCUUUGCCAAGCAUCAACCUGAAAAUUUUCCUCACAUAUUAAGAUGCAUUCAAUACCUUGAUAUAUAGGAUGAUACAGACACAAUUUUUGGAGUCUCUAAUAUUAUAGCUAAAUUUUGUGUUUUUAUAGCAAAAUGUUAAAUUAUUUGGAAUCCAGAAGACAUUUAAGAAGCAGAAGAUUUUUUUAAAUAUACAUAUUUUUGGGGCAACCUAGUCUCACUGUAGCCAAAGGGCCCAGGAUGGGAGAGCUUUGAAAUGAAACCAUAACUAAAACCCUAUUUCGUACUUUCUUGAUUUAUCCUCCUCCCACUCCCUAGGCCCAUCCCUACUUUGGAUGAGAAAUGGCAGACUAUGGAACUUCAGAGAUCAUCUCUUCCAACACCUUGUGUAAAGGAAGUCAUUGCUAGCCAGAACGUUGGGUGUAAAAGCAUUUUAUGGAGAAGUGAUGCUUAAACUGAGAAAGGAGGAUGAGAAGGAGGUAGCCAACUGAAGAGAAUAUUGCAAGCAGUAGCGGUUUGAACUGUGUGCCACAAAAAGAUACAGUGAAGUUCUAAUUCCCAGUACCUGUGCAUGUGACCUUAUUUGAAAGCAGGGCCUUUGCUGAUAUAAUUAGUUCAGGAUCUCAAGAUGAAAUCGUCCCAGAUUUAGAAUAAGCCCUGAAUGCAAUGGCUGGUGUCUUUAUAAGAGGAAAGGACACACAGAGACACAGAGAAGAAGACCAUGUGAAGACAGAGGCAGAGAGGAGUGACACAGCAUCAGGCCAUGGAGGACCGAGGACCACUGUGAGCUGCCAGCAGUUAGGAGAAGGCAGGAGACAGUCUCCCCUAGAGCCUCUGAGAGAGCAGGACCCUGCUAUCAUCUUGAUUUCUGACUUCAGUCCUCUAGAACUAUGAGAGAAUAAACUU